GCUGAAUCAUCCAGCAUCCAAAACUACACAAGGUAUAGACAAAUUAGUAGCUUGAGGCUUGAAAGGAUUAAUAAGCACUUGGAAAAGAUUAACAAGCCUCCUGUUCUCACCAUUGAGGUAAUGUUAUUUAUUGCCAUUAAUUAAUGUUUCAAAUAAUGUGUGUUUGUUUGUGUAUGUGAUAGUGGUUGAGAUUUUAAUGAUCAUGCACACAAAAUAAAAUGUUCUACUUUUCCUUCAUUUUUUUUGUUAAUAAGGUUUUUUUAAUUAUCUUUUCUUGGUUGGUAUUAUUAAUUUCAGAGCCCAGAUGGAGAUCUUAUAGAUUGUGUCCACAAAAGAAAACAACUAGCUUUGGAUCACCCACUUUUAAAGAAUCACAAGAUCCAGGUACAACUAUUGGAAAGUUGACUAUUGAAUAUGAUUUGAUAAUUAAUGUAAUAUUACUAGUUUUUUUUUUUGUGUUUAACAUGUCUUUAUAAAAUGGACUUGUUAAAUAAAGAAGGUCAAUGUUUAUAAACUUUUUAAACUUUAUAUCUUCUAAAUGUAUGACUUGAUUUUUUUUUUUCAACACAGAAAGUACCAAGUGAAAUGCCAAGAGGUAUGAAAAUGGAGAGAGAUGAGAAUGUUGAUAGUGAUAAUAUUACUAAGACUAAUGUGGAAGUGGGAAAAGGAAAAGAGGGGGUAAGAAACAACGCAUGGCAAAUGUGGCAUCGAAAUGGGACAAGGUGUCCAAAGGGAACGGUUCCUAUGCGGAGGAGUACAGUACAUGAUGUGUUGAGAGCAAAAUCUUUGUAUGAUUAUGGUAAGAAACGAACACAAAUUCCACUCUCUCGGAGCAGUGAUGCACCUGAUGUAUUCUCUGGCAAUGGUCAUGAGGUAUGUAUAUAUGUGGUUACCUACAAUGAUCUUACUAUUAUUACAUGGCUAUAUACUUUGAUGAUUUCAAUCUAGAUACGUGGUUUGGAUAAUGACUUCAAUAGAAUGAAAAUAAUGAUAUGUGGAUUGAAUAGUGACUUCUAUAGGUUGAUGUAUAAUUAGGAAUCCAACUAUAUAGUCUUGGAAAUAUAACCAUUAGUGUGAUAUUAGGUGUUUCUAAAUUAGUCCUAAACUUUAUUUAGAAAUGAAGAGAAGAAAUGUGGUUUGGAAGGGAAAACCUAUGAAAGUUGGUCGGUUAGUUUAUAAGGAAUACUCCCAAUAAUAUCAUUACCAAAUAAAUGUCAAAUAAUUGAGUAUUGAUUCUUACAUUUUUUUUCAAAAGAAAUAAAGGAUUAAAUUACUAUAAAUUUUAGGUCAUAACUAAUAUUUAGUUAAUGUCAUCAAUUUAAAAAAAGUGUGUGAUUACUUUACCAUGACACUAAAAAAAAUGUUUUUGGAGAAACAGAAGAUUCAACCUCAACUGUUUGAUACACUCAUUAUAUUAUUUUACCAUAUGACAUUAAAGAUUUAGAUAUAAUGAUAACUAAAUCAUGAAUGCAAGGGUUAAAAUAGUAUAAAAUUUGAUGCAAAAUGUAACUUUCACAGAUAGAUCUAGCUUGCAAAUGAUUCUGGUUGAUCCUCAAUUAAACUUCAAGUUGUUAUCUUCCCAUUAUAUUAAAAUGUCAACAAGAUCAAUUUUUCUUUUCAUCACUCUAUAAAGUUGCAAUUCAACUUGACACCGAAU
rnacentral:lncRNA from 1 species